AAUUGAUUAGGACGUGCUUGCACUGAAUAAGAUUUUAACACGAAGUGAGUGGCGGACGGGUGAGUAACACGUGGGUAACCUGCCCAGAAGCAGGGGAUAACACCUGUGAAACAGAUGCUAAUACCGUAUAACAGAGAAAACCGCCUGGUUUUCUUUUAAAAGAUGGCUCUGCUAUCACUUCUGGAUGGACCCGCGGCGCAUUAGCUAGUUGGUGAGGUAACGGCUCACCAAGGCGAUGAUGCGUAGCCGACCUGAGAGGGUAAUCGGCCACAUUGGGACUGAGACACGGCCCAGACUCCUACGGGAGGCAGCAGUAGGGAAUCUUCCACAAUGGACGCAAGUCUGAUGGAGCAACGCCGCGUGAGUGAAGAAGGGUUUCGGCUCGUAAAGCUCUGUUGUUAAAGAAGAACGUGGGUGAGAGUAACUGUUCACCCAGUGACGGUAUUUAACCAGAAAGCCACGGCUAACUACGUGCCAGCAGCCGCGGUAAUACGUAGGUGGCAAGCGUUAUCCGGAUUUAUUGGGCGUAAAGCGAGCGCAGGCGGUCUUUUAAGUCUAAUGUGAAAGCCUUCGGCUCAACCGAAGAAGUGCAUUGGAAACUGGGAGACUUGAGUGCAGAAGAGGACAGUGGAACUCCAUGUGUAGCGGUGAAAUGCGUAGAUAUAUGGAAGAACACCAGUGGCGAAGGCGGCUGUCUGGUCUG
rnacentral:rRNA from 1 species